AUUGAACGCUGGCGGCAGGCCUAACACAUGCAAGUCGAGCGGAUGAGGGUAGCUUGCUAUCUGAUUCAGCGGCGGACGGGUGAGUAAUGCCUAGGAAUCUGCCUGGUAGUGGGGGACAACGUUUCGAAAGGAACGCUAAUACCGCAUACGUCCUACGGGAGAAAGUGGGGGAUCUUCGGACCUCACGCUAUCAGCUGAGCCUAGGUGCGAUUAGCUAGUUGGUGAGGUAAAGGCUCACCAAGGCGACGAUCGUUAACUGGUCUGAGAGGAGGAUAAGUCACACGGAAACUGAGACAAGGUCAAGACUCCUACGGGAGGCAGCAGGGGGAAAUAUUGGAAAAGGGGCGAAAGCCUGAUCCAGCCAGGCCGCGUGUGUGAAGAAGGUCUUCGGAUUGUAAAGCACUUUAAGUUGGGAGGAAGGGCAGUAAGUUAAUACCUUGCUGUUUUGACGUUACCAACAGAAUAAGCACCGGCUAACUUCGUGCCAGCCGCCGCAGUAAGAC
rnacentral:rRNA from 1 species